ACCAGACUGAGCAUCAAGAGAAGAACUUUGAAGUGAAACCCGGAAGCUCAACGGGAAGAAGGAGGGCAAAGGAAAUGAAAACCAGAGAUUUGAGAAGAAAGACCGGAAACUUGGCAGUGCCCUCUCCAAGCCAGGCCAGCAGUUUUAUUGCAGGCCGUCUGCGUUCCAGGCCUAUAAAAAUUCCUUUUGUCACUUGUAGUGAACUCUUGGCAAGUUGUGUGUGUGAUGCCACAGCUGUUAAACCCAGGGAAGGAGACGUAAAGGGGAAGAAAUUACUGCGAUUUUUGGCUCUGUCCACUGCAGAGCUGGUCCUGAGCAGAGUGACGAGGGGGCAGCCCGGUUUCACCUGGCUGGAGAGAGGGGACUCCCAGGAAUUGACCCUGAGCCUGGGGACCACUGCACCACGCGUCCCUUUCCUCUGCUGGAACCAUAAGGCAGCGCCGAGCAGAACAACGACUGGUCCAGAGGACGGGAAGUGACCAGAGCUGGCGACACGGACACAGCCCAGCCAUGCUUGCCUGCAGGGUUGACCUUGAGUGAUGUUCCGCUUUCUUCCUCGUUCUCUUCUGUUUUUCCGUAGUAAAUGCAUGUGCUUCCUCUUCAGGGGAAGGAAAUACUGCAAAAAAAAAGAAGCAUCUCAGAUGUGGGAUCUUUAAGACGUGUGUUCUGCCUGUUGAGCAGGUGCUUGGGGUUUGCUGGACCGAUGAAGUGUGGUCAGUUUCUGCAAGGGUCUGGACUUGUUUCCCGCAGCCCUGGCAGUGGCCGUGUGGUGGCUGAGCAGACAGAACCAACGCCCGUGGGUGUUUGGCCAGCUGGCCCUGGCCUCCCACUAGGCCGUCAAAGACGCCUUCUGGAACUGGCGGCCACCUUGGCCCACUCGUUAUCCAGCAGGAUAAUAAAUGCAGACAGCAGAGCA
rnacentral:lncRNA from 1 species